AGUACACAUGACUUGUGGACCAUUAGAUCCAGUUCAUCAAGUUCAUCCAUCUCUGCCUAAAUCAAUAGAAGCAGAGCUCUGGGACGUGUGGACACACAUUUGCUGUAAUGAUGGACAUCUUGCUCAUGGACAGUUUUUCAAAAGCAUAACCACUGCUGGUUGUGGUGCCGGAAGCUCCAGGGGGAGACCGUAACAGUCUCCCCCUUCUCUUCUUUGGGCGCGCCUUCACAUACACUUCACCAUUCACUCGUAACGAGGAGAUCUGGCUGGGAUCGAACCAGCAACCUCUGAACCCAUGAGGCAGCACUCUUAACCUUGGAUUCCAAAAUAAUGGAGCAGGAUGGCAAAAGUGGACAUCUCUGGGAUGGUAAAUCAGACUAUGCAGCCAUGAGAGACUUGGACCGACUGGCAAACGCACCUAGGGUGGUAAAUUAGCCAUGAUGUGAGAGAUGAAGGCUGGGAUGGAGACGAGAGAGAUCGACGAUGGAAGUACAAAUACUUUGUCCAACAAUCAUGCUGAAGCAUCUAAGAACUCUUCAUAGCAUCCCAAUUAUUUGUUGCUUCAAAAGAUCAACCAUAGUGUUGUGUUUUACUUUCUUUCUUUAAUAUUUAUUUAUCCAUUCAUUCAUAAUCAUUUAUCAUUUAAUCACUUUAUUACAAGUUUGACUUGUCCUCCCCAAUGUCUAAGUGGUUAUGGCCCUGAUUUAUAAUAUUCGUUAAACCCCUUUAUAUGCUAAUCUCAGUGAUUCAUUCAGUGAUUAGUCAUUUGUAUCAUAUUAUAUUUUUUCAUUGUUUAGUCUUAUGAUUGUGUGAUUUCAAGGGCUAUUUGUCUUCACAGGUAAGAGAUAAGUGAAUGUCUAUAUUUCAAGGUUAAGUGAAGCAGUAAUUUUCCAUUGCUUAUGCUUGUGGUAUAAUAACACUUGCUAGAUUUAUGCUGGUCUUACAAGGUCUGAGCACUGAAAUGUAAACAACUAUGAUUAUUCAAUAAACUCUG